AUUGAACGCUGGCGGCAGGCUUAACACAUGCAAGUCGAGCGGGGUGAUGGUGCUUGCACUAUCACUUAGCGGCGGACGGGUGAGUAAUGCUUAGGAAUCUGCCUAUUAGUGGGGGACAACAUCUCGAAAGGGAUGCUAAUACCGCAUACGUCCUACGGGAGAAAGCAGGGGAUCACUUGUGACCUUGCGCUAACAGAUGAGCCUAAGUCGGAUUAGCUAGUUGGUGGGGUAAAGGCCUACCAAGGCGACGAUCUGUAGCGGGUCUGAGAGGAUGAUCCGCCACACUGGGACUGAGACACGGCCCAGACUCCUACGGGAGGCAGCAGUGGGGAAUAUUGGACAAUGGGGGGAACCCUGAUCCAGCCAUGCCGCGUGUGUGAAGAAGGCCUUAUGGUUGUAAGGCACUUUAGGCGAGGAGGAGGCUCUUUUGGUUAAUACCCAAGAUGAGUGGACGUUACUCGCAGAAUAAGCACCGGCUAACUCUGUGCCAGCCGCCGCAGUAA
rnacentral:rRNA from 1 species